rnacentral:siRNA from 1 species
CCAUUGCAGGUUGGCCUGUUAUGU